GAGAGCCGUGUGAUGGGUCACUAUCUAGCAUGGUUCAGAGAGCACAUGUAUGUAGUCUUCCCACGGCUCUGUCACCAUUGACUCUAU
rfam:Triticum aestivum genome assembly, contig: Triticum_aestivum_CS42_TGACv1_scaffold_134322_2BL